GCGCGAGCCCCGCCGAGUGCUGUGGACAUAAGUCACUGUCACGCGGCGCAAAGAGUGCUUCUCCGUCAAUUCUCUUGUGCGUGCGACAGCGACUGAUGUGUGCCGGCAAAAUUCAUCCAAAUAUCU
rnacentral:precursor_RNA from 8 species